rnacentral:rRNA from 1 species
UACGUAGGGUGCGAGCGUUAAUCGGAAUUAAUGGGCGUAAAGCGUGCGCAGGCGGCUUUGCAAGACAGAUGUGAAAUCCCCGGGCUUAACCUGGGAACUGCAUUUGUGACUGCAUGGCUGGAGUGCGGCAGAGGGGGAUGGAAUUCCGCGUGUAGCAGUGAAAUGCGUAGAUAUGCGGAGGAACACCGAUGGCGAAGGCAAUCCCCUGGGCCUGCACUGACGCUCAUGCACGAAAGAGUGGCGAGCAAACAGC